AAUUUAAUUAAGAGGCAACUCUUAACUGGCCAAUUAAGGAAAAACCGAGAGGUUCAAGCUUAAAGGGCAGAAAGUGAACUAGUAGCGCUAGAUAGUCAUCGGGAAGGCUGGCGGUAGCGCUAAAACGACGAGCCAA
rnacentral:sRNA from 10 species